AACCUAGCACACCUGCGGUGUGUACCUGCGGAAGGAUCAUUACCGAGUGUGGCCCCCUUUCUAAGAGGGGUACCUCCCGUCCUUUGCAGGCCCUUUUUUAAGGGGCUUUUUGACUUUGCUUCGGCGGGUUUAACCCCCCGCCGGGACACCCUCAAGAAAAUCUUUUAAUAAACUUUUGUUGUCCGAGUUUACUUGCGAAUAAAUCAAAACUUUUAACAACGGAUCUCAGAUCGGAAGAGC
rnacentral:misc_RNA from 1 species